rnacentral:rRNA from 1 species
UACGGAGGGUGCAAGCGUUAUCCGGAUUCACUGGGUUUAAAGGGUGUGUAGGCGGAUUUUUAAGUCAGUGGUGAAAUCUCCGGGCUCAACCCGGAAACUGCCAUUGAUACUAUUAGUCUUGAAUUUUGUUGAGGUAGGCGGAAUAAGUCAUGUAGCGGUGAAAUGCAUAGAUAUGACUUAGAACACCAAUUGCGAAGGCAGCUUGCUAAACAAAUAUUGACGCUGAGGCACGAAAGCGUGGGGAUCAAACAGG